rnacentral:rRNA from 1 species
GUCGAGAAUCUUUCUCAAUGGGCGAAAGCCUGAAGAUGCGACGCCGCGUGAAGGAUGAAGGCCUUCGGGUUGUAAACUUCUUUUGCAAAAGAAGAAAGCUUCGGUUCUAAUAAAGCCGGAGUGUGACGUUAUUUUGUGAAUAAGCCACGGCUAACUCCGUGCCAGCAGCCGCGGUAAUACGGAGGUGGCGAGCGUUACUCGGAAUGACUGGGUGUAAAGGGUCCGCAAGUGGUCUGCUAAGUGGACGGUGAAAUCCUUCUGCUUAACGGAAAAAUUGCCGUUCAAACUGGCAGACUAGAGGCCAAUAGAGGAGAGCGGAAUUGCCGGUGUAAGGGUGAAAUCUGUGGAUAUCGGCAGGAACGCCUGAUGCGAAAGCGGCUCUCUGGAUUGGUUCUGACACGCAGGGACGAAAGCUAGGGGAGCAAACAGGAUUAGAAACCCUAGUAGUCC